GGAGACUCCAAAUCCCAGGGGCGCUUGCAGCUCCCAUGAUGCCGCAUAGUAACCCAAUAAAUUGGACGGCGCGAGGCUGCGGGUUUUUCGAAAUGCGAGUCAGCCGUCUCACCUGCGCACGAAUAAAAGAAGCGGCGAUGGCGCCUACGACUUAAGAUCCAGCAACUACAGUAUUUCAGAUGGCCAUGCUGUCCCACUUGAAGGUGUAACAGAAAUAUGAAACCAUCUAAUGAUGAUGAUGAUGAAUGAACCAAAGAUACAAAACAAUGUGGAUUCUGUCCUAGCCAUGAAACAGACCAGCUCUUCUCCCCUGGAUGUUUAUUAGAAGUUGUGUGAACUGUGCCUCCCUGCAAAUAUCCUGAACAGGAUUAUAGAGAACCGACGCCACAUCAUUUCUCCUAAAAGCUGCUGUACAUCCUCUAACUUAAAGGUCUUUUACAUGGUAAAGUGACUGAACUCCAGCUCUUCAGAUAGUGGACGGGGCAGUGUCCAGGUCUCGGUCAUGACAACACAGUUCACUGCACAAUGGCAGAUUGGAGACUGGAGUAUGGAAGAGGUGGAGAUGAGACUGAUGGCAGUGCAAACUCUACCCAGAACACCAGCUAUAAGACAACUGCAAAAUCUCCUCCUGGGUCUUUACUUUCCUAGUCUACAUCCUUCCAUAGAGAGAUUCCAGACAUACUUGGGCAAAAAAAUGAGGUCUUCUACCUUCUGGCCAAAGCUCUCCCAACAGUGUGACAUCUCUACCCAUAUGUGUUCAAAAACCAAAGGCACCUUUUCUCGAUCCCAAGAAAUAGGAGUAAUAACGGAACUGAGACUGUUGGAUGCAUUCUUUACAUUUGAGUGGAAUUUAUCCAUGAUAGAUCACAGCCUUGGCAAUUUCCCAGUUUUGGUACUUUGGCUGGACAUUUGCAAUCUAUCAUCUGAGAGUUUUAAGUCCUCAAGAACAAAGUUGGCCACCUGUUUUUACAUUUAAUGGCCCUUGCUGCCCAGUCUUUUGGAUUUUGCUGUUAUUCCCAGCCAGCAUCAGUAUUUUCAAACUGUUUGACAUCCCUCAUGGACCAAAACGAUUUUAAACAGUAUUCUGGUCAUCAUCACAUCGGUAACUGUUGAUUUAUAUAUUCAUUUAAAACCAAAAAAAAAAACUGCUGUCUUCCAGCUGUGACUUUUGUAAUGCGACUCCUUUUUUUUCUCGGCACCCACAGGCUGUUUGUAUUGUGUCUCGUAUUUGACUUCAUGCAACUGUGACUUACUAUAUUGUGAAGUGCCUCUGGUUCAUGGUGCCAAUUGUGUAUUACUGACUUCUAGGAACUUCUACAAGACGAUACUUGUGGCAGAUCAUGCAUUCCACAUGAGUUUGUAUUUGAUUCAGUUUGCUUUAUGUAAAGGACAAAAUCUAUUCUGUUGAUUUCAUCAGACUGAACCUCCUAAUUACAUAUUGAAGAUCAACUUUUUUUUUUUACUGCAUCUGGUAAUGAACCUUGCUGUUGCAUUUUGGACACUGGUUAUGAGACUACAAUUACCUUUUUGCUCUACCAACUUAACCUGAAAGAACAGAGCUGCAACAAGCACCCAUGUCUUUUUAUACGGGCUUUUUCAAAUAUUUUUGAAAUUCUUUGUAAAAUUGCGCUUUUGAUUUGGGAAGGCUUUGGUUAUAAUACUUGAAGACCUGUUUAUUGGUUUAAAUGGUAUAUGAAGCAUAGACACUGGAUCACAAAUUACCGGCAACCUUACCAUUUAAGGAAUCCCACUGAGAAACUAGCAACCGCACGUCAUUCAGUGAUGGGUUUUUAGUUCUUCCUUCCUUUACCCCUAUUGGAUCCAGACUGAUGAUCCCCACCUAUCACAGCGCUCUCUACAUUAUAUUUAAAAACCCAUCAAGUUACUGUAAUCAGUCCCUCCUGGUUGUAUUUGACUGUACUGGACAUUACUGCAGACAGCGGCUCUUAAUCUACUGCAAAUGAUCAUUUUAACUUGGUUCUGUUACUGUGCGUAUCAAUUAAGGUGAAGUACCCUUUAUAGUGCUGUACCUUUUAAUGGUCACUAAUAUGUCGACUUUCUCAAACGUGUGAAAUGACCACAGUUCUUGUACUACUUUGUUUGUGUAAUGGUGUAUUAUGAAUUUGAGUUGUAAUAAGCAAGGGACAAACCGGUUUGUUGUUUAAAGCACCUUGUAGUAAUUUGAUGCUGUUAUUGAUUGAUAACUUUUAAUUUUUUUUUUUUUUUUUCUGUUCUUGUUCAAACAAAAUUGUACUAAUGCUGGAUUUGUGCUAGAAAUGUUGAUACUGUAAGCUUCAGUAAGAAUCUGCAUUGUGAAAGUGUCUGUGAUCCAGUAGGACCCCAUAAUCCCUGGGUGAAUGUGAGGUUGUAAUUUAGUGGUGCUUCUUUCUCUCCUCCCUCCCCAUAUCCCAGUUUAAUAGUGUAACCUUGAGCUGCUCCAACUUGGGACAUUUGGAGAUGUCCAGUUUCUCUAAAGAGAAUAUUCUGAGGAACUGGGACUUCGACGGUAUCCUAGAUUGUGACCACCUCGUGUACAUCCCGCCGAUUCCAAACUUUGAAUCCUCAUUGGCGUAACGGACAAUCCAAAUGUUGAAUUUUUUGUUCCUUUUUAAACACAGCUUUGCCCUGGUAUAAACUCUCAAGCAAGAAAUGAGUUGCCGUCACAGACUUGCUGUCUUCGCACAGCCCACUGGAGAUAGGAGGCUAUGGAUUUCAGACGUCGGUUAAACAGGAGCACCCUUCUUGCCAUGGCUCUUGGCUCAGUUUUAUAAUGUGCUGGGCAAGGCUACUUCCAGCUCAUCAGAAGUUCUUUAAUUCCCUAAUCCAGUGACCCCAGCAAAUGAAGAAAAAUCCUUUUGGCUGAUUACCUGUGGCUGUCCUACAAUCUUCACCAUAACUGAAGACGAUGGAAUCGUGGAAGGAUGGGUAAGAAAAAUAA